rnacentral:rRNA from 1 species
GGAUCAGAUUGUUGGUCGUGCCUCGGUACGUACUGGCAUUAUUGGUUCCUACCUUCUGAAGAACCGCGAUGUCAUUAAUUUGGUGUCGUGGGGAAUCAGGACUGUUACUUUGAAAAAAUUAGAGUGUUCAAAGCGGGCGCACGCUCGAAUAGAUUAGCAUGGAAUAAUGGAAUAGGACCU